GUGUCGUGACAACACUUCUGCCUACACAAACAGAAGCUACAACAGAGGCAGUGACAAGCAAUGCAGUACAAUCUGCAAUAACAGAGUCAUCACCACCUCAAGUCAUAACAGAAUCUUUAACAACCAAAACUGUGUCAAUAACACCAAGUGAAACAACAGUGUCUUCAUCAGAAACAGCACCACCAACAACAAAAAUAACAUCAUCUAAUGUGAUUUUUACAGCUGCCAAGGCAAAAAGUGCAAAUACUUUAACAUCAACAGGAAAAUCAUCAGCAUUGCCAACAACUGGUUGGGGCACAACCACAGCAGCAACUGCUAAUAAUGAACCAAAAACAACCAAUUCUACACUAACUGAGGUUUCAUCUACUGUUUUAGUUUCUAUGACAGUAGAUACUGUGACAACAACAACAGCUCUAGCAGAGUCUGCUACUGAGACCAAAGCUUCAACCUUUGAACAAGUGACUUCAGCGUUGCCAGUAACAGCACUGGGCUCAACCACAGCAGCAACUGUUACCAAUGAACGAGAAUCAACCAAGAAUACACUAGCUGAGGGUUCAUCUACUAUGUUACAUUCAGUGGCAGUAGAUACAGUCACAACAACAUUGACAACAAGCUUAACAGAGUCUGCUACUGCACCCAAAGCUUCAACCUUGGUACCAGAGACAUCUCAGGUCACAGGAGAAUCAUCAUCAGUCCAAAAGGAAACUACAACAUUAAUGUCAGUUAAGCCAGUAACAGUGGCACAUACCUCAGAAGUCUCCACCACUGUUGAAAGAGUGAAACAAGAACCUACAACACAUGCUGACAAUGGUUCUUCAUCAGCAGGAAUAACUACAUUGAGAGCAUCUGGUACAACAGAAUCAACAUUGGCUUCAACUACAGCAGUACUAAAAACAGAGGGAUCACCACCUUUACCUGAGACAAGUGAUGUAAAGACAACAACUGCAAGAUCAUCCAGAUCUACAGAAUCAACUGCAGAAGCCCCAACAUUGUUGGUACGAACAACAAGUACAACUAAUGCAACAUCAGCAGGAGUGACAUCAGCAUUGACAGCAACUGCACUGGGCUCAACCACAGCAGCAACUGUUAGCAAUGAACCAGAAUCAACCAAGAAUACACUAGCUGAGGGUUCAUCUACUAUGUUACAUUCUGUGGCAGUAGAUACAGUCACAACAACAUCGACAACAAGCUUAACAGAGUCUGCUACUGCACCCAAAGCUUCAACCUUGGUACCAGUGACAUCUCAAGUUACAACAGAAUCAUCAUCAGCCCAAAACGAAACUACAAAAUUAAUUUCAGUGAAACCAGUAACAGUGGUUCAUACCUCAGAAGUCUCCACUACUGUAGAAAGAGUUUCACAAGAAACUACAACACACGCUGACAUUGGUUCUUCAUUAGCAGGAAUAACUACAUUGAGAGCAUCUGGUACAACAGAAUCAACAUUGGCUUCAACUACAGCAGUACUAAAAACAGAGGGAUCAUCACCUUUACCUGAGACAGGUGAAGUAAAGACAACAAUUGCAAGAACAUCUGGAACUACAGAAUCAUCUGCAGAAGCACCAACAUUGUUGGUACGAACAACAAGUGCAACUAAUGCAACAUCAGCAGGAGUGACAUCAGCAUUGACAGCAACUGCACUGGGCUCAACCACAGCAGCAACUGUUAGCAAUGAACCAGAAUCAACCAAGAAUACACUAGCUGAGGGUUCAUCUACUAUGCUGCAUUCUGUGGCAGUAGAUACAGUCACAACAACAUCGACAACAAGCUUAGCAGGGUAUGCUACUGCACCAAAAGCCUCAACCUUGGUACCAGUGACAUCUGAAGUUACAACAGAAUCAUCAUCAGCCCAAAACGAAACUACAAAAUUAAUUUCAGUGAAACCAGUAACAGUGGUUCAUACCUCAGAAGUCUCCACUACUGUAGAAAGAGUUUCACAAGAAACUACAACACACGCUGACAUUGGUUCUUCAUUAGCAGGAAUAACUACAUUGAGAGCAUCUGGUACAACAGAAUCAACAUUGGCUUCAACUACAGCAGUACUAAAAACAGAGGGAUCAUCACCUUUACCUGAGACAGGUGAAGUAAAGACAACAAUUGCAAGAACAUCUGGAACUACAGAAUCAUCUGCAGAAGCACCAACAUUGUUGGUACGAACAACAAGUGCAACUAAUGCAACAUCAGCAGGAGUGACAUCAGCAUUGACAGCAACUGCACUGGGCUCAACCACAGCAGCAACUGUUAGCAAUGAACCAGAAUCAACCAAGAAUACACUAGCUGAGGGUUCAUCUACUAUGCUGCAUUCUGUGGCAGUAGAUACAGUCACAACAACAUCGACAACAAGCUUAGCAGGGUAUGCUACUGCACCAAAAGCCUCAACCUUGGUACCAGUGACAUCUGAAGUUACAACAGAAUCAUCAUCAGCCCAAAACGAAACUACAACAUUAAUUUCAGUGAAGCCAGUAACAGUGGUUCAUACCUCAGAAGUCUCCAUCACUGUUGAAAAAGUGACACAAGAACCUACAACACAUGCUGACAAUGGUUCUUCAUCAGCAGGAACAACUACAUUGAGAGCAUCUGGUACAACAGAAUCAACAUUGGCUUUAACUACAGCAGUACUAAAAACAGAGGGAUCAUCACCUUUACCUGAGACAGGUAAAGUAAAGACAUCAUCCAGAACUACAGAAUCAUCUUCAGAAGCCCCAACAUUGUUGGUACGAACAACAAGUGCAACUAAUGCAACAUCAGCAGGAGUGACAUCAGCAUUGACAGCAACUGCACUGGGCUCAACCACAGCAGCAACUGUUAGCAAUGAACCAGAAUCAACCAAGAAUACACUAGAUAAGGGUUCAUCUACUAUGUUGCAUUCUGUGGCAGUAGAUACAAUCACAACAACAUCGACCACAAGCUUAACAGAGUCUGCUACUGCACCCAAAGCUUCAACCUUGGUAUCAGAGACAUCUCAGGUCACAGGAGAAUCGUCAUCAGUCCAAAAGGAAACUACGACAUUAAUGUCAGUAAAGCCAGUAACAGUGGCACAUACCUCAGAGGUGUUCACCACAGUUGAUAGAGUGAAACAAGAACCUACAACACAUGCUGACAAUGGUUCUUCAUCAGCAGGAAUAACUACAUUGAGAGCAUCUGGAACAACAGAAUCAACAUUGGCUUCAACUACAGCAGUACUAAAAACAGAGGGAUCACCACCUUUACCUGAGACAGGUGAAGUAAAGACAACAACUGCAAAUACAUCCAGAACUACAGAAUCAUCUGCAGAAGCCCCAACAUUGUUGGUACGAACAACAAGUGCAACUAAUGCAACAUCGGCAGUAGUGACAUCAGCAUUGACAGCAACUGCACUGGGCUCAACCACAGCAGCAACUGUUAGCAAUGAACCAGAAUCAACCAGGAACACACUAGCUGAGGGUUCAUCUACUAUGUUACAUUCUGUGGCAGUAGAUACAGUCACAACAACAUCGACAACAAGCUUAGCAGGGUAUGCUACUGCACCAAAAGCCUCAACCUUGGUACCAGUGACAUCUCAAGUUACAACAGAAUCAUCAUCAGCCCAAAACGAAACUACAACAUUAAUUUCAGUGAAACCAGUAACAGUGGCACAUACCUCAGAAGUCUCCACCACUGUUGAAAAAGUGACACAAGAACCUACAACACAUGCUGACAAUGGUUCUUCAUCAGCAGGAACAACUACAUUGAGAGCAUCUGGUACAACAGAAUCAACAUUGGCUUCAACUACAGCAGUACUAAAAACAGAGGGAUCACCACCUUUACCUGAGACAAGUGAUGUAAAGACAACAAUUGCAAGAUCAUCCAGAACUACAGAAUCAUCUGCAAAAGCCCCAAUAUUGUUGGUACGAACAACAAGUGCAACUAAUGCAACAUCAGCAGGAGUGACAUCAGCAUUGACAGCAACUGCACUGGGCUCAACCACAGCAGCAACUGUUAGCAAUGAACCAGAAUCAACCAAGAAUACACUAGCUGAGGGUUCAUCUACUAUGUUGCAUUCUGUGGCAGUAGAUACAAUCGCAACAACAUCGACAACAAGCUUAACAGAGUCUGCUACUGCACCCAAAGCUUCAACCUUGGUACCAGUGACAUCUCAAGUUACAACAGAAUCAUCAUCAGCCCAAAACGAAACUACAACAUUAAUUUCAGUGAAACCAGUAACAGUGGCACAUACCUCAGAAGUCUCCACCACUGUUGAAAAAGUGACACAAGAACCUACAUCACAUGCUGACAAUGGUUCUUCAUUAGCAGGAACAACUACAUUGAGAGCAUCUGGUACAACAGAAUCAACAUUGGCUUCAACUACAGCAGUACUAAAAACAGAGGGAUCAUCACCUUUACCUGAGACAGGUGAAGUAAAGACAACAAUUGCAAGAACAUCUGGAACUACAGAAUCAUCUUCAGAAGCCCCAACAUUGUUGGUACAAACAACAAGUGCAACUAAUGCAACAUCAGCAGGAGUGACAUCAGCAUUGACAGCAACUGCACUGGGCUCAACCACAGCAGCAACUGUUAGCAAUGAACCAGAAUCAACCAAGAAUACACUAGAUAAGGGUUCAUCUACUAUGUUGCAUUCUGUGGCAGUAGAUACAAUCACAACAACAUCGACAACAAGCUUAACAGAGUCUGCUACUGCACCCAAAGCUUCAACCUUGGUAUCAGAGACAUCUCAGGUCACAGGAGAAUCGUCAUCAGUCCAAAAGGAAACUACAACAUUAAUGUCAGUGAAGCCAGUAACAGUGGCACAUACCUCAGAGGUGUUCACCACAGUUGAUAGAGUGAAACAAGAACCUACAACACAUGCUGACAAUGGUUCUUCAUCAGCAGGAAUAACUACAUUGAGAGCAUCUGGAACAACAGAAUCAACAUUGGCUUCAACUACAGCAGUACUAAAAACAGAGGGAUCAUCACCUUUACCUGAGACAGGUGAAGUAAAGACAACAACUGCAAAUACAUCCAGAACUACAGAAUCAUCUGCAGAAGCCCCAACAUUGUUGGUACGAACAACAAGUACAACUAAUGCAACAUCGGCAGUAGUGACAUCAGCAUUGACAGCAACUGCACUGGGCUCAACCACAGCAGCAACUGUUAGCAAUGAACCAGAAUCAACCAGGAACACACUAGCUGAGGGUUCAUCUACUAUGUUACAUUCUGUGGCAGUAGAUACAGUCACAACAACAUCGACAACAAGCUUAGCAGGGUAUGCUACUGCACCAAAAGCCUCAACCUUGGUACCAGUGACAUCUCAAGUUACAACAGAAUCAUCAUCAGCCCAAAACGAAACUACAAAAUUAAUUUCAGUGAAACCAGUAACAGUGGUUCAUACCUCAGAAGUCUCCACCACUGUUGAAAAAGUGACACAAGAACCUACAACACAUGCUGACAAUGGUUCUUCAUUAGCAGGAACAACUACAUUGAGAGCAUCUGGUACAACAGAAUCAACAUUGGCUUUAACUACAGCAGUACUAAAAACAGAGGGAUCAUCACCUUUACCUGAGACAGGUGAAGUAAAGACAACAAUUGCAAGAACAUCUGGAACUACAGAAUCAUCUGCAGAAGCCCCAACAUUGUUGGUACGAACAACAAGUGCAACUAAUGCAACAUCAGCAGGAGUGACAUCAGCAUUGACAGCAACUGCACUGGGCUCAACCACAGCAGCAACUGUUAGCAAUGAACCAGAAUCAACCAAGAAUACACUAGCUGAGGGUUCAUCUACUAUGUUGCAUUCUGUGGCAGUAGAUACAAUCGCAACAACAUCGACAACAAGCUUAACAGAGUCUGCUACUGCACCCAAAGCUUCAACCUUGGUACCAGUGACAUCUCAAGUUACAACAGAAUCAUCAUCAGCCCAAAAUGAAACUACAACAUUAAUGUCAGUAAAGCCAGUAACAUUGGCUCAUACCUCAGAAGUCUCCACCACUGUUGAAAAAGUGACACAAGAACCUACAUCACAUGCUGACAAUGGUUCUUCAUUAGCAGGAAUAACUACAUUGAGAGCAUCUGGUACAGAAUCAAUAGGAUCAACAUUUGCUUCAACUACAGCAGUACUUAAAACAGAGGGAUCAUCACCUUUACCUGUGACAGGUGAAGUAAAGACAACAACUGCAAGAACAUCCGGAACUACAGAAUCAUCUGCAGAAGCUCCAACAUUGAUGGUACGAACAACAAGUGCAACUAAUGCAACAUCAGCAGUAGUGACAUCAGCAUUGUCAGCAACUACAGCCAGGACAACCACAGCAGCAACAAUAACUACAACUGGAGAUGUAGUGACAACAAAAAUAGUUCUAGCAGUGUCUUCUACUGCACCCAAAGCUUCAACCUUGGUAUCAGUGUCAUCAGUAUUGCCAGCAACUGCAUCAGAGACAAAUACAGCAGCUAAUGUUAGCAGUGAACCAGAAUCAACCAAGAAUACAUCAGCUAAGGUUUCACCAACUGUAUUACAUUCUACAACAACAACAACAACAAGGAAGCCAGUAACAAUGUCUCAUACCUCAGAGGUCUCCACCACUGUCAAAAAUGGUACUUUAUCAACAGGACAUACUACAUUGAACAAAUCUGGUACCCCCGAAUCAAGAAUUGCACUGACGACAGUAGCAACAGAGACCACAAACACUGAUCCUCCUACCAUUGACGAGGGAAGCAUACACUUAAGAUUCAGUCUAAAUGAAACUUUCAGAGAAAUAUAUAACAACCGAUCAUCCCCUGAAUUCAUUGCAUUAGCAACACAUGUGGUAACUGUGAUAAACGGAAUUUACAGGGCAAGCGAUCUCAGAGGAUACAGACGAAGCAGAGUCAACUCUUUCACGAGUGGCUCCAUUAAAGUAGACAUGACUCUUAUCUUUGAGAAUUCUUCUAUAGUCCCAAGCUCAUUUGAAGUAGAAGCUAUUCUUAACAUGACCGCUCUGAAUGGUACCAUACCUCUGGACAUCAUACUUGAAACUAUCAAAGCAGGUGAGUGUGUGACGUACAAUACACAAAUUAGCAUGACAAUUAAAUCAUCCGAAUUUCAAAGUUUCACGUGUGUUACACAUUUUUUUAUUACAGGGGAAAUAGUAACUUCUACACCAGUGCCUGUCUCAAAUGUUGAAUCUACCACCACAAAAUACACAUCGAGUACAAAUGGUAUUUUCCAACUAAUACUGUUACAGUGUUAA
ensembl:lncRNA